AUGUGCCGCUGCCCGCCGGAGCACCAUGACGGCAGGAUGACCUCUGCCGAGGCAGUGGCGGUGGCUGGCGGCGCUCGGUGGGCCGGGUCCGCCGAGUGGCCCCCUGACACCCCGCAGGCCCUUCGGCGGCCUGGCCGGGCCCGGGUGGCCGUGGCUGCGUUGGUGUGGCUGCUGGCGGGAGCCAGCAUGUCGAGCCUCAACAAGUGGAUUUUCACAGUGCACGGCUUCGGGCGGCCCCUGCUGCUGUCGGCGCUGCACAUGCUGGCGGCCGCACUGGCCUGCCACCGGGGGGCGCGGCGCCCCCUGCCCGGGCAGACCCGCCGCCAGGUACUGCUGCUCAGCCUCACCUUCGGCAUCUCAAUGGCUUGCGGCAACGUGGGCCUGAGCGCCGUGCCCCUGGACCUGGCGCAGCUGGCCACCACCACCACGCCGCUCAUCACGCUGGCCCUGUCCGCGCUGCUGCUCGGCCGGCGCCACCACCCGCUGCAGUUUGCGGCCAUGGGCCCGCUCUGCCUGGGGGCCGCCUGCAGCCUGGCCGGAGAGCUCCGGACGCCCCCGGCUGGCUGCGGUUUCCUGCUGGCGGCCACCUGCCUCCGUGGCCUCAAGUCCAUUCAGCAGAGUGAGUAA